AUGAGUUCGUCGGAGGAGAAGACGUCGUGGCCGGAGGUGGUGGGGCUGCCCGUCGAGGAGGCCAAGGCGAUCAUCCUCCGCGACAAGCCUGGCGCUGACAUCCUCGUCCUUCCCGUCGGCUCCAGCAGCGACACGCAGUUCAUCGCCAACCGCGUCCGCAUCUUCGUCAACGGCACCACCGUCGCCGAGACUCCCAUUGUUGGCUAG
rnacentral:rRNA from 1 species